rnacentral:rRNA from 1 species
AUUGAACGCUGGCGGCAUGCCUUACACAUGCAAGUCGAACGGUAACGGGCCUUGGGUGCCGACGAGUGGCGAACGGGUGAGUAAUACAUCGGAACGUGCCCGAUCGUGGGGGAUAACGAGGCGAAAGCUUUGCUAAUACCGCAUACGAUCUACGGAUGAAAGCAGGGGACCGCAAGGCCUUGCGCGGACGGAGCGGCCGAUGGCAGAUUAGGUAGUUGGUGGGAUAAAAGCUUACCAAGCCGACGAUCUGUAGCUGGUCUGAGAGGAUGAUCAGCCACACUGGGACUGAGACACGGCCCAGACUCCUACGGGAGGCAGCAGUGGGGAAUUUUGGACAAUGGGCGCAAGCCUGAUCCAGCCAUGCCGCGUGCAGGAUGAAGGCCUUCGGGUUGUAAACUGCUUUUGUACGGAACGAAAAGCCUUCUUUUAAUACAGGAGGGUCAUGACGGUACCGUAAGAAUAAGCACCGGCUAACUACGUG